rnacentral:rRNA from 1 species
AAGAAAGUAGAAAAGGGCGCAAGGCGGAUGCCUUGGCUCACGGAGGCGAUGAAGGACGUGAUAAGCUGCGAUAAGCCUCGGGUAGAUGCAAAUGAUCUCUGAUCCGAGGAUUUCCGAAU